UGGAACUGGAUGAGCAUUGUGCUCCUUUUCAACCCAGGCCAUUCUGUGAUUCUAUGAUGCGACCUGAUGGCUGUGAUUCUGAGAAUUCAAAGUGUUACUGCUGAACUCAGGAUGCAGCUACACCUGGAGACCCAGGAACAUUUCCCUACUAAUGCUUCUGAACAAACAUUCUCACUCCAAAAAGGGAUAACAGGGACAUUGAAUUUUCUUCCGCACUUUGGUGCUUUCUACACCUUAUUAUUUUUUUGUCCAGAUACGCUGACUAACAGCUAUUAUGCCUCGCUGCACUACUGAAGGAUGCCUAGAGCCACGUUCUUCAUAGGGAAAGCAAAAAUGUCCACAUUUUAAAAAUGACAGGCUGACAUACUGGAGCCCUGGAGCGUGCCUGUGCCUGCACAGAUGGAAGAAGAAGAACACAGUCCUGCAUUGCACAGCUCGUGAUAGAGCUCCCUGUACAAAGCUUUCUUCUGUGAGAAGUUGGAGUUGGCAGCACCUCAUCCUUAUUGUCCUCAGAAUAGAAACUCAAGGGGGAAAUAGGAGAGGCAAACCAAAGAGGAUGGGGAUGGUUACCUUUCUGUGUUUCAAUCCAUGAGAAAUAAAGGAGAAGUGAAAAGCACUAGGCUUGGACAACAAGGCCUGUGUGUUUUUUUGGCAGAUUUUAGAAAAGCAAAAAGUUCUCUUUAAAUCAGAAUAAUAAAAGCAGUUACUGCUAUUGCAUAGAAAAGCAAGAAAAUGAGUACAAGCUACUGAAAAUUUAUCUGAAGGGGAAGUUCCUGGCUAAUAAGAAAAGAUCAUUACAUGUUUGGACAGAAAAGCCAGGUCCAAGUGAAUAUGCCACCUCAAAUUCCAUUUCCUUACAGCAGGUACAAGAAAAAACAGUUUUCUACUCCAGCUGUAGAACAAACCAUUAAUAAGUGGUACCAUCUUAGCAGAACUGCUGUCUGCAAAGCAGCUGAGCCCUGCUCUCAGCAGCCCAAAGACAGACUGCACAGGUGAAUUGUUUACAAUUACUUUACCUAUUCUGGACUAUCCCUGCUCCUAGAUGCUUUAAUUUAACAUCACAGUAGAUGGAAUGCAAGUAGAAAAGUACCUGCAACAUACCAAGGCACUUAGAGGGUAUUUCUCACUAUGAGAAUCAGUGUAUUGUAAGAGUUUUGACUCAGAUUGGACAAUAAAAGGAUAAAAAAGCUCUUCUCUCUCCAUGUAGCUAUGAGUACUGAAAUCUAGGUCAUGUUCCCUAACAAUGAGAUAAGGAGUUUUCUACUCUUUUCAUUCUCACAGCCCCAAAGUGCUACCUGAGCCUCACCUUUCUGCAGAAUUCUUUGUCUUUGAAAAUAAUCGAUAUCAAUAAGCAAAAUACAGCAUCAGAAAUCAGAAGCCUGCACCAAGCAGCUGGACUCUACUGACCCAAGAAGUGUCUCCUUCCAAAGCAGAUGCAGUCAGUGUUAGGCCUGGCUUCUCUCUGCAUGCCUGAGCACACCAUAACAGGAAGGCCAUGCACACUGCUGCGUAGGACAACAUGUAAUCAAAAGCACUUCAUCUGCUUUCUUCCAUAGCAACACAGAACUGUCUUUACAUCAUACAAUAUCAGGUUGUCUGUAACAAAUGAGAAUCCAGUCUGAGUGAACUGAUGUCCUAUGUUCCACCUGUCCCACUACACCCAUGCCCAGCAACAGAUCCCAUUUUGUUCCUUGCUUAGGCAGAAAGUAAUCCCACAUCAUCUCACAGCCUCUGAACACCCCACACCACUUCUAGUGCCAUUUGACCUCAGUCAUCUACUGUCACUCACUUUGGCCUUUUAAUUACACUAUUUUUCACUAUAUAUAUAUAUUCAUAGAAUUCUGUAAAACCCAUCCAACUUAUUCUUUAAAAUUCAGCUAGGCUUCUUGCAAAGGGCAUCACCAAGAAGUCUGCUAUUCAGUAUUGGCUGCAGCAAGAAACUCUUUGAUGACAGUUAUAAAUAUCUCCCUGCUUCCACAACACGUUCAAAGAGUCUCCAAACAAAUCUGUAAGUGAAAUAACAAGUGUGAGCAUGUUAUAAAUACAUAGCUUAUGUUAUUUUGGUCAGGGUCACUGCAUUAUCUGCAGCAACUCCAGCUGUCUCAAGGACAGUGUCACAUGCUCUGUCUUUCUGCUAUGCCAUCUGAAGAAGCCCAUGUAGUACAGUGGCAUUGGAGUUGUGAUGCAGAUGUAAUGCACUGCUUGCUUUUAACAUGGGAAUGCUUUGAAGUCCCACUCAAGGGACUGGAGUUAGACUUUAUACAGGCACUGAAAGCUGUAGAAAUGAGAUAAAAACAUGGGAACAGAUCACCUAACUAACAGGGGAAGGGUGAAAUUGCUGGAACUCCAGAACAAGAAAACAUAUACAGUUCUUUAUAGACUGUAGUGAUGCAGGGGGUUCCAGAUGAAGUUCAUUUCAAUGAAAUUCCCUCAUAGGUUUUCAAAGAAUGUGACUGUGACGUGCCUUGCCAUUGGAGGCUUGUAACUCUUCAUCCUUGACAAUCAGCUCUAGCAGUUACUUCAGCUAGAGCCUAACUGCAUUGGUACAGGACUGUGCACACCUCUGUUUGUCCUGCAGUCACAGGCUGAAAUACUUCCCCUGGAAAGAUGAAACUCUUAGAAAAUGAAUGCAGUUUGAAAGCAGUCUGUGCAAAACCACAUGCAAACGAUUAAUAAUUAAUUCCCUUGUAAAUUAAUGAAAACAGACCUAUGAUAGCUCUGCAGUGCUCCAAAUUUAAACUUUUCAUGAAAAAAACAGAAACAAAAACCAGGUACCAAUCUCCAUGAACACUGGCAUUUGUAGCUGUGAUUCAACCGCGUUCAUCAUAGGAACUGCUGGACCAGUAAGCUUCCAAUGCUGCACUGACUCAAGCACUGAUUGCAUUCCAAUUACCUGCCCUUGCAUCCAGCAUGAGGUUUUCCUACAUAUUUUGACUGCUGAUGCAAUUUUGAGUGGUGCUUUUGUUUCGUAUUCCUUUGCUUAGAGACAACAGCAACACACAUCACUCACUCAGGUCAGCCUGACAUUUCAAGCACUCUGUGUGCAUCUGCGUCCUUAUAACUCUUCUGAUUUCUUAAUACCUGUGCAAACUAAAUGUUUCAUGGGAUAGCUUCUGAAAGUCAUUGCUAUUUCAAUAUUAUGGUCUAUUAGCUCUCUGCAGCUAAGAAAUCUUGCUCUGUUUUGGAUGCUGAGUUUAAAAAAUGGGAGAAGGAGGUCUCAAUUCUAUUGGGUGUUGUGGACUUCAUAUAAAACAAAUAUUAAGAUAGUUUCCUAGCAGUUGGCAAUGCACAAUAGUAGGAGAAAAUGAAAAUGCCCAUUCAUACAUACACUGAUAGAUGUAAGGAAUACAUACAUGAAAGAAGCAGUAAAUGUAAAUGUGCUUAAUGCAUGUGCUCAUAACAGUAGACAAAAGAGCACUGUCAUGUGCUAUUUAAAUAUUCAGGAGAGGCAAAAUUGGUAUUUGGAUGGUGAGGCACUGGAACAGGUUGCCCAAGGAGGCUGUGGAUGCCCCAUUCCUGCAGGCAUUCAAGGCCAG